AGGACACAAAGAGUGGGGAUUGAGACCCUGGGAUACAGGUUUCUUACCUGGGAGAAAAGUCCCAUGAGUUGCUUGGCAUCUCUUGACCCUCUCUUCAACACUUGAUAUACCUACUUCUGCGUCUCUGGGCCAGUCCGGGUCACCUCAGUGUGGCACCACAUACACGGUUGGCAGAGCGGCCUCCCCACCCUUGGUGUGAAAGAUGGAUGCCAGUCACAUAAUUUGCCUCAGAUGGUGCAAUCCGGCUUGUACCAGCAGAUGACCUCCAUGUGGAAGAUACAGAAUUUUUUAGAAAAUAAUACCAACUGGAA